AUGGAAGAACAGAUAGAGGGAGAGGAGAAGGAGUGGAGCUAUGAUUCAUCUGAUGAGGAUUAUUCUUAUGAUGAAGAUUCUGAUGGGCAAAUGGUUAGGAGGAAGAGCAAGUAUCCCAGAUACAACAAUGACACAGAUAUUCCACACUUCUCAUUAACAAUGGUGUUCAGAAGCAAGAAUCAGCUUGUGAAGGCAUUGAAGAGAUAUGGAAUUGUUACCAAGAGGAGCAUUGUGUUCAUGAAAUUAGAGGCAGAUAGAGUCAGAGCUAAGUGUGGAUGGCCUGGGUGCCCUUGGUUGAUUUAUGGAGCCAAAACCUCAAGAACCAGCAGGUUUCAGAUUAUUACUUUUAAUGAUGAGCAUGAAUGUGCACAAAAUAGAGAGAACAGGCUUGUGACAGCAAAGGUUAUUGCUCAGAGAUAUGAGCACUUCAUUUUAGCUAAUCCAAUGUGGAAGAUUGAGAGCAUCAAAGCAACAGUUCUCCAGGAUAUGUUUGCUGAUGUAUCAACUUCUAAGUGCAAGCAUGCAAAGAAGCUAGUCAUGGACAAAUUAAGAGCUGGAAUGAAGAAUGAGUACACUAGGGUUUUUGAUUACCAAUUGGAGCUGCUCAAAAGUAAUCCAGGAAGCACUGUUGCAGUUUGUUUGGAUCCUACAAACAUGGAAGAAAACAUAUUUCAAAGCUUUUAUGUGUGA
rnacentral:rRNA from 1 species